CUCUCCACUACCCAAACCCUAGAAAUCUACCUCCCCAGCGGCGCGUUUGGAGAUUUUGGAUUUUGUCGACCAAAUUUUCGGAGGGAAUUAGCUUUCAACGCUGAAAUCGACUCGGAAACACCGACUACUUUCUAAUAGAUCGAAAAUGCCGAAGAGGGGUCGUCCGCUAUCGCAAGUAACAGAGGCUGCAGAGAAGCGAGUAAGAUCUGAACUCGACGAUGCAGUUGAUGAUUUAAUUCCGGUAGCGUUGGCACAAAAGUUGAGGGAUCGGUUGGCAGCUGCUGCCCCUAGUAGCUCAGCAGGUGAUGUUCAACAGACACAAGUUAAGGGAAGAAAGACUGAUC